GAUGAACGCUAGCUACAGGCUUAACACAUGCAAGUCGAGGGGCAGCGGGAUUGAAGCUUGCUUCAAUUGCCGGCGACCGGCGCACGGGUGAGUAACGCGUAUCCAACCUUCCGUACACUCAGGGAUAGCCUUUCGAAAGAAAGAUUAAUACCUGAUGGUAUCUUAAGCACACAUGUAAUUAAGAUUAAAGAUUUAUCGGUGUACGAUGGGGAUGCGUUCCAUUAGGUAGUAGGCGGGGUAACGGCCCACCUAGCCAACGAUGGAUAGGGGUUCUGAGAGGAAGGUCCCCCCACAUUGGAACUGAGACACGGUCCAAACUCCUACGGGAGGCAGCAGUGAGGAUAUUGGUCAAUGGACGAGAGUCUGAACCAGCCAAGUAGCGUGCAGGAUGACGGCCCUAUGGGUUGUAAACUGCUUUUAUAAGGGAAUAAAGUGAGUCUCGUGAGACUUUUUGCAUGUACCUUAUGAAUAAGGACCGGCUAAUUCCGUGCCAGCG
rnacentral:rRNA from 1 species